AACGAACGCUGGCGGCAUGCCUAACACAUGCAAGUCGAACGAGACCUUCGGGUCUAGUGGCGCACGGGUGCGUAACGCGUGGGAACCUGCCCUUAGGUUCGGAAUAACUCCACGAAAGGGGUGCUAAUACCGGAUAAUGUCUUCGGACCAAAGAUUUAUCGCCUUUGGAUGGGCCCGCGUUGGAUUAGCUAGUUGGUAGGGUAAAAGCCUACCAAGGCGACGAUCCAUAGCUGGUCUGAGAGGAUGAUCAGCCACACUGGGACUGAGACACGGCCCAGACUCCUACGGGAGGCAGCAGUGGGGAAUAUUGGACAAUGGGCGAAAGCCUGAUCCAGCAAUGCCGCGUGAGUGAUGAAGGCCUUAGGGUUGUAAAGCUCUUUUACCCGGGAUGAUAAUGACAGUACCGGGAGAAUAAGCUCCGGCUAACUCCGU
rnacentral:rRNA from 1 species